rnacentral:lncRNA from 1 species
UCAGUAUUCUCCAGAGACUUAAAGGAGGAUAUACUGUCUUGUAGGAUGAGUGGUCCAAAGCGCUGGACACAGAAAAGGCAGUAAUGUACCACAAUGUUACAAAAGCAGUGAUUCUAAUCUCUAUGCAGGUAGAAAAAAAUUAUCUGACAAAAAUUUGCAGAUCUAAAAACAUGGGUUAUAUUUCAAACUUUGUACAUAUAUCGAUAUUUCAGUUUAACCUGGAAAAUUGGACAGAAAGAUAAAAAGGAAAAAAAUGCCAGAUAGCUGUGUGAUCUUAAGUUCCACAACGCCUUUCAAGACAUUUCAAAUAUUAGAAGAACUUAACCUAACAAUGGUAAAAUAAUGCCUGUGCAAUACAUAUCUAACACCCCCUCCAACAGAAGCUACAUAAACUGAUAUGCAUCAAAUCAUGUCACCCUUGACAAAACAGAAACAACAUCACAACCCUAAUCAAAGGUUGAGUAGUAGUCUAUGUUAUCUUCCUCAUCAAAUAGAACAAAUCUUUCCUGUAAUUAGGGAGGAAUGUAGGUAAUCAUCUAUAGACAAAUCUUAUACUAAACAGUCAUUGUUUUAGUUUUUUUGUAAUGCAUAUUUUUAUUGCUUAAUAUGAGGUAUGGGAUUUGCUCAUUGUUGAAUGCUGUAUGGUGACCUAUAGUUUUUACAUUCUUUGUCCUAAUAGAUAGUUGUCUCAUUGGCAAUCAUACCAGUGACAGUGUGACUCAUUCCCAUAAGUCCAGUCAUUUUCCUUUCUAGUCAAGUAACAGAUUGCAUUUUGCAAUUUUGUUUCAUUUUCUAUAGACUUCAACAUAGACAUCUCAAUUGACUGUCAAAACUGAUUAAUUAAAUGCAUCAUCUUUGUUAAUGAAUAAAUUUGUGGUAUCACUCAAAAAAAUUGAAUACAACAAAAAUAAUACAAGAGUGUACCCACUGAAUUGUCUGUUUAAUUGAUCAUAAUGGAAUAUUUUAUGUUAAAACUAUUUCAGGUAGAGGUUUUAAACCAAAGUGGUGGUCUGAAUGUUUUGACCACCAAACUUUUACAAAGGACCAACACAUUUUUGGUAUUUUGUAAUAGAAACACUAUCGAGAACCAGCAGAUUUUCUUCAAGGAACAUCAGAGGGAAAAGAUUUCCAGAACUCUGUUUUAACUCAAUAUUGUCAAUUGAAAAUGAGGUCAAGGUCAGAUGAAGGGAUUACCAUACCAGACCAACAUGGACACCAUGGCACCAUUCCUUGCACCAAAUAUACUUGAUCUUGUUACCUGAUUGUUUGCUCAUAGUAUCAGAGAAACACAUCUAACCACUGGAACUUAAGGUUUUGACCAAUGAACUAUGAAAAUGAGGUCAAGGUUAUUAUAUAAACCCUAAUAGAGGAAAAUGUAUAUUUUACAAUCAUUCAACACCAAAUAUUGUUGUCCUUAAUACUUAUAAUAUCUCAGAAACGAACGUUACAUAAAAUGAGAAUGUAUUACAUUUUGAUCGCUGAAGAUGCAUGUACAUUGCAAUGGACUUAUUCAUUAUUUGUAGGAGGAGGUAUUGCACAAUUGUGUUUAGUCAUACAUCAAGUAUAGAAACUUAUAUAAUUUAAACAAGAGCUUAUCAACAUUACACUUAAUGCUAAAUUGAUAUGAGACAUUUAUUUCUGCAUUGAAUUGAAAGAUACUAAAAAAUAUAAAAAAAUUAAAAUUUUAAUGAUCAACAACAAACUUGUCUUAUCAAUUAAAAGUAAUCAGUUAUUUUCCUAAGAAACAUUCCACUUACUCCAAUUAUCCUAAAACAUGAUAUGCUAACACCAAUGAUAACAACCUCCUUCAAGCAUUAAAAUUACAACAAAUGGCCUAUAAAUAUCAUGGUAAACACAAGUCUUAGACUUCAAAUUUUAGACCUAGGUG